GUGGACCUGAUUUACAGAUAGAAGGAUGCUUUUGAAUUCAUGUUAUUGUGUUUGACAGCUUCUAGCUUCCCUGGGCAUUAGUAAUAGAAAGCCAUUGACAAGAGACAUUCAACAGCAAAACAGUAAGCUGGCCAAUAAAGUAGACAUAAUUGCACUAAAUCUUUUUUUUUUUUUUUUUUUUUUUUUUUUCAGAUCAAGAAUCUUUCCUGAGGAUGGGCUUUCAGCUCCUGAAGAUGGUGAGCAGGAAUAAACACCAGAAGUUUCAACCCUGGCCUGAAAGUGAUUCUUUUAGUAGACUUAUGAAAAAUAAAUUAAUUUUAAGAAUGUAAAAUAUGAGCUUGGUAAUUCAAAAAUCUUUUUUUUUUUUUUUUUCCUGGUAAUCAUAAAUAUUUCUUUAACUUAAGCCUGUGCAUUCAUAUCAAGAAAGUCUAUAUUAUUUUGAUGGAAAUUCUUCCACAUACAUAAGGAGAGCCC
rnacentral:lncRNA from 1 species